rnacentral:rRNA from 1 species
CACGUAGGGUGCGAGCGUUUGUCCGGAAUUAUUGGGCGUAAAGGGCUCGUAGGCGGUUUGUCGCGUCGGGAGUGAAAACGCCGUGCUUAACACGGCGCUUGCUUUCGAUACGGGCAGACUAGAGGUAUGCAGGGGGAGAACGGAAUUCCUGGUGUAGCGGUGGAAUGCGCAGAUAUCAGGAGGAACACCGGUGGCGAAGGCGGGUCUCUGGGCAGUAACUGACGCUGAGGAGCGAAAGCGUGGGGAGCGAACAGG